AAGAGGGGAGAAGAAAUAAGAUUGCUGAGGCAGUAAAAGUCAAACAGUGGAACCGUAACAUGACAAAAGGCCAGCAGGGCAGCGACUGUAACAAACAGCAGAGAGUGACUCGAGUCUGUGCGAGAGCAGCGGCAGAGGAAGGUGAAAUUCCUGUGCGGUCAUUAUUCCAGCAUCCUCUGCAUCCCCACUCAAACCCCAUUUCCCAGUGGACUCACACAGCACCCGCAGGGCCUGCUCGCUCCUCUUGUCCCCCAGGGCCAGGGAGGGAUGGUUGACGGCGCAGGUGAUGA